rnacentral:rRNA from 1 species
UUGACCUCGAAUCAGGUAGGACUACCCGCUGAACUUAAGCAUACAAAG